ACUCCUACGGGAGGCAGCAGUGGGGAAUCUUGGACAAUGGGCGCAAGCCUGAUCCAGCCAUACCGCGUGGGUGAAGAAGGCCUUCGGGUUGUAAAGCACUUUUAUCAGGAGCGAAAUACUACCGGCUAAUACCCGGUGGGGCUGACGGUACCUGAGGAAUAAGCACCGGCUAACUUCGUGCCAGCAGCCGCGGUAAUACGAAGGGUGCAAGCGUUAAUCGGAAUUACUGGGCGUAAAGCGUGCGUAGGCGGUCUUUUAAGUCUGCUGUGAAAUCCCCGGGCUCAACCUGGGAAUGGCAGUGGAUACUGGGAGGCUAGAGUGUGAGAGAGGAUGGUGAAAUUCCCGGUGUAGCGGUGAAAUGCGUAGAGAUCGGGAGGAACAUCAGUGGCGAAGGCGGCCAUCUGGCUCAACACUGACGCUGAGGCACGAAAGCGUGGGGAGCAAACAGGAUUAGAAACCCCAGUAGUCC
rnacentral:rRNA from 1 species